rnacentral:lncRNA from 10 species
GGCAAAGUUCUCCAGAAGGCCAUGUAUGCCCUCAAUCAGCAUCCAAUAUGUGGGAUUGUUUCUCCCAUAGCCAAUAUUCACGAGUUCAGGAAUUAAGGGGUGGAAGUGGAAAUGGCAUCACUCACCCUCACCCCUAGUGACCCACUAGCAAAAUUUUUGCUUCCUGUUCCUGUGACAUUACAUUCUGCUGGCCUAGAGGUCUUAGUUCCAGAGGGAGGAACGCUGCCACCAGGAGACAUAGCAGCAAUCCCAUUAAACUGGAAGUUAAGGUUGCCACCUGGACACUUUGGGCUCCUCCUCCCCUUAAGUCAACAGGCUAAGAAGGGAGUUACAGUGUUGGCUGGGGUGAGUGACAUGGAUCAUCAAGAUGAAAUCAGUCUACCGCUCCACAGUGGAGGCUAAACUUGAUAAGGGGCACAAGUGCUGAGCCCGGCACACGGCAGUGGGGUCCUGCGGCAGCCGGAGAGGAACUUGUGGCUCUUACCUG